CAGGACUAAAAAGUAGCUUUGAGAACCAGGUGGUGCUGAAGACAGGGGUGUGGAUGUGAAUGAAAAAGCUUCAGUGAUCAGAGCCCAGAGUGGGCUUGUGAGCUAAGUCGCUUCAGUCUUGUCCAAUUGUUUGCAUCUCCAUGAUUGCUGCCUGCUGAGCUCCUCUGUCCAUGGGAUUCUCCAGGAAAUAGAGGCUGGUGAGGUAGAAGGAGCUGUCCUGCUGCUAAGUCCAAACAACGGUGCUAAGAAGUCCCCAGACAGAUGGAGGACAUUCAUUCAGCACAGAAAUAGUGGCAGAGAAGAAGUAAAGCCAAGAAAUACUGGCCUGGAAGUAACAUUAGGGGAAGCUAAGGGAGCUAAUCAACCAUGACAAGAACAAGACGCCAGCAUCCAGGGGAAGAGGAAAACAGGAGCCUGGAUCCCCUGCAGUCUGGACCAUGGGCUCCUGACCUGACUGUAUCCCAUCUCACAGGGAUGAGUCAUCUCCCCAUCUUCCUUCUUGCUUAUAACUCAGGCCCUCCACGAGGGCCCUGUCUCCAUGGGGUCCACUAACCAGGAUGCAAAUCAUUCAGUCAUGUCCAACUCUUUGCAACCCCAUGGACUGUAAUCCACUAGGCUCCUUUGUCCAUGGAAUUCUCCAGGCAAGAACACUGGAGAGGGUUGUCAUUUCCUUCUCCAGGAGAUCUUCCUGACCCAGGGCAGAAGUAUAGAAACUGUGACAUUGCUUCUGGG
ensembl:lncRNA